rnacentral:misc_RNA from 1 species
GAGUGGGUGGCCGGGGACGGUGGAGGUUGUGGAAGUUAAAGGCAAGGGACAUGUGUUUCACCUCUUUGUUCCUGAAGCUGAAGAAGCCAUAGCCAUGUUGAAAAAAUUGGCCUCUUUCCUUAAUCAGUCAUAGGACCCAGUCAUUUAUAAUCUUGUUUGUCAUGGAAAUUCAACUAUAUAAUAAGGCAUCAUGUGCCAAAGCAAAUGAAUUAAGUACUAUUUUUAAUUAGACGUAAUUGUGUUUUUGUUGCUUAAAACCUUA